UGGGCUCCAGAUUUGCAAAUUCUUUGAUAAGGAUUUCUUUGUAAAAAGCAGAGCUAACUUAACUGCAAAUUCGUAGAUAAGGAUUUCUUCAUAAAAAGAAGAGCUAACUUAACAGCAAAUACUUUGACAAGGAUUUCUUCAGAAAGAGAAGAGCUAAUUUAACAGCAAAUUCUUUGAUAAGGAUUUCUUCAGAAAAAGAAGAGCUAACUUGACAGUAAACUUCUUUUUAAGG
rnacentral:lncRNA from 1 species